UACGGAGGGUGCAAGCGUUAUCCGGAUUCACUGGGUUUAAAGGGUGCGUAGGUGGGCAGGUAAGUCAGUGGUGAAAUCUCCGGGCUUAACCCGGAAACUGCCAUUGAUACUAUUUGUCUUGAAUAUUGUGGAGGUUAGCGGAAUAUGUCAUGUAGCGGUGAAAUGCUUAGAGAUGACAUAGAACACCAAUUGCGAAGGCAGCUGGCUACACAAAUAUUGACACUGAUGCACGAAAGCGUGGGGAUCAAACAGG
rnacentral:rRNA from 1 species